GUGGGGAAUAUUGGACAAUGGGGGCAACCCUGAUCCAGCAAUGCCGCGUGUGUGAAGAAGGCCUUCGGGUUGUAAAGCACUUUCGAUGGGGAAAAACAAGCCAGACCUAACACGUCUGGCCCUGAUGGUACCCAGAGAAGAAGCACCGGCUAACUCUGUGCCAGCAGCCGCGGUAAUACAGAGGGUGCAAGCGUUAAUCGGAAUUACUGGGCGUAAAGGGUGCGUAGGUGGUUUUUUAAGUCAGAUGUGAAAUCCCUGGGCUCAACCUGGGAACUGCAUUUGAUACUGGAAGACUCGAGUGUGGUAGAGGGUAGUGGAAUUCCGCAUGUAGCGGUGAAAUGCGUAGAGAUGCGGAGGAACACCAGUGGCGAAGGCGGCUACCUGGACCAACACUGACACUGAGGCACGAAAGCGUGGGGAUCAAACAGGAUUAGAAACCCCGGUAGUCC
rnacentral:rRNA from 1 species